CUUCUCUGUGGUAUGGAUUCUAGUAUUACUCGGAAUAAACCUUAUAGAAUUUUACUCGGUAAAAGUUUUAAAGAUAAAGCCUUCAGCUACUGCAGUUUCCACUUUGAUUUUAAGCCUGCCUCAAUCAUUCUUGAAAAAUCUUCAACCGUAAAAAUAAGAGAAAAGAGUGUCACGGUAGAAAUUCCAAACUCUCAGCAAGGCGCCGUCGGAACAAGUAUAUAUUCGGGGAACCUUUCUAAUUCCGAAAAAGAUUGUGUUUUAAUAUUUGACCCUGUUAAACAAAUAUUUACUUUAGAAAGAUCACUUUCCAAAUUUUUUUUAAAACAUAAAAGAC